UAGGCAUUGACCCCUCCUUAGUCACGGAGAUCCACUACAACCUCCAGGCCUGCUCUUGAUUGUCUCAGAAAUCCCACGGUGAUUAGUACAGUAACCCAGACUGAAGUCAAUCAGGGAAUGGCUUUCUGCCAGGCACAGGGCUCAGGUGCCAGUAUUAGCAUAAUUCAUGAGGGUGAAAUUGGAGAGGGUUUUUCAUGGGGGUGACAGGAACGAAGUCUUCUGAGUUUUUAUGAGAGAGAAAUCAAGAAAAAAGAAAGUUCUUCUCUGCUCUGCCACACAUCUCGAUUUGUGGACAUGUGAAGCUUGGUACUUCCAGAGGCAUUUUGCAACCAUAAAGGAAGCUGGCUCUGUAGCUAAGCCCAUGUCCCGUAGCUGAGGAGUUGCAGAGAAAUCAGUCCAGCAUUGUUGUAUUAAAAGAGCUGAACUCAGUCCUGCCACUGGGUAUCCAGCUAAACAGCUAAGCAAAUAUAUGUCCUUCAGAUUUAAUUCAUUUGUGAUCUUUUUUCUAUUGUUUAUAUUACAGACAUCCCAAGGCAUGAAGCUUUAAUUGCAACAUCAUUACAAACAAUGACCCUUGCAAGCAACUUUGAAACAGAGCAUGUGAGCCACAAUGAGGUACUAUUCAUUACAGUAUUAGGGCUGGACAGGUGUCAUGAUGGAUAUGCAUCAGAGCAACAAUCUGUUCCUGAACUUCAAAGAAAUGGAGCUAUAUGGUAGGUAAUCUUUUAUGUCUGGUUUUUCUUUGCUCAAAAUAAUAUUUUUGAGAUUCAUUCAUUGUGUGACAUGUAUCACAAUAAAGCUUAUUAUUAUUACUAUUGUUGUUGUUCCUAAAUAGUAUUCUAACAUACUACUAUACCACACAUUGUUUUUAUGUAUUCCUCUGUUUCCAGUUUGGGGAAGCAAUUGACUAAAACUGCUGUCAACUUUCAUGUAUGGGUUUUUGUGUGUGGAAUGAAGAAAUACGUUUUUUUCAUAUCUUUUGGUAACUAUCUAUAGAAGGAAUUGCCUUGACACAGGUUAGAUAAUGUUUAGCUUUAGCUAAAAUGACAGAAGUAUUUCCAAUGUGGUUCUACUGUUUUACCCUUUCACCAGCAAUGGAAAGUGUCUCAGGGGCUGCACAUCCUUGCCAGCAUCUGGUCUGAUCAGUUCCUUCAAUUUGUUUCUAAUUGAUGUGAUAGGGUAUCUCAUUGUGGUCUUAAUUUGCCUUUUCAUGAUAACUAGUGAUAGUGAAGAUCUUUCCACAUGCUUAUUCUACUUUCAUUUGUUCCUCUGUGAAGUGUCUUUCAAUAUUUACCCAUUGAAUAUUUUUUUCUUUUAUUGAGUUCCAGGAGCUUAGAUAUUCUGGAUUCAAGUUUUUCAUUAGGUAAAAGUAUUACUAAUAUUGUUCCAGCCUUUUCAUUUUCUUAUGAUGUAUUUUGAGGAACAGAAGUUUUUAUCUUAGAUAAGCCCAGUGUUUUAUAUUUUUUAUUUAAUUGUUAGUGCCUUUUUUACCAUUUCUAAGAAAUCUCUGUAUAUCCAAGGUUCCUAGAAACUUUUGUCUGUGUUUAUUUCUGGAAAUGUUA
rnacentral:lncRNA from 1 species